GAUGAACGCUAGCGAUAGGCUUAACACAUGCAAGUCGAGGGGCAGCACAAGGUAGCUUGCUAUCUGGGUGGCGACCGGCGCACGGGUGCGUAACGCGUAUGCAACUCGCCCUAUACAGGAGGAUAACCCGUCGAAAGACGGACUAAUACUGCGUAUGCUCACAACUUGGCAUCAAGUGGUGAGGAAAGAAAUUCGGUAUAGGAUAGGCAUGCGUCCCAUUAGCUUGUUGGUGAGGUAACGGCUCACCAAGGCAACGAUGGGUAGGGGAACUGAGAGGUUUAUCCCCCACACUGGUACUGAGACACGGACCAGACUCCUACGGGAGGCAGCAGUGAGGAAUAUUGGUCAAUGGGCGCGAGCCUGAACCAGCCAAGUCGCGUGAAGGAUGACUGUCUUAUGGAUUGUAAACUUCUUUUAUACGGGAAUAACAAGAGUCACGUGUGACUCCCUGCAUGUACCGUAUGAAUAAGCAUCGGCUAACUCCGU
rnacentral:rRNA from 1 species